rnacentral:piRNA from 1 species
AAUAGAAUCUGUGCAGAGGGCCUU